UACAGAGGGUGCAAGCGUUAAUCGGAAUUACUGGGCGUAAAGCGUGCGUAGGUGGUUUGUUAAGUCAGGUGUGAAAUCCUUGGGCUCAACCUGAGAAUUGCAUCUGAAACUGGCGAGCUAGAGUGUGGUAGAGGGUGGUGGAAUUCCCGGUGUAGCGGUGAAAUGCGUAGAUAUCGGGAGGAACAUCAGUGGCGAAGGCGGCCACCUGGACCAACACUGACACUGAGGCACGAAAGCGUGGGGAGCAAACAGG
rnacentral:rRNA from 1 species